GUGACGUCUCGCCCUUACGUCCCAGAGUGCCCUCAAACAUCCCAACUUCCUCUCGUUAGCCAAUCCUCUCUCCCUUUAUUUCCUGUGGCCUGCGGUUUGCAACAAGCAAGUGGAACUGGGAUUUUUCGUCUUCUGCGGAUUGACACUUGUGAAAGAAACUCGUUACAAGACGUAUAGGAAGAGCUGGGCGUUGUGGCCCACGCCUGUAACCCCAGCAAUUUGGAGACCGAGGCAGGAGGAUUGCCGCGAGUUCGAGCCCAACCUCGACUACAAAGUAAAUUCAAAACCAGCCUGAACUACUUAGUGAGAUUCCUGUCUCAAAGACAGCAAUGAAAAAUCAAAACCAACCAAACAAAAAAUGUAUGUUAGGAAGAGAAAAGCUGACUUCUGCUGGGCAUGGUGGCGCAUGCCUUUAAUUCUAGUAAUUGUAGGCUGCGAGAGGAGGAUCGUUGGAGUUUGAGGCUAGCCUGGGCUUCACUGUCAGCCACAACUGAGACACUUUAAAAAAAAAAAAAAGCAAAACUGGUUUCCAAACUCCAUUUAUUCGUUAAGCCAGCCUUUUCCUCCACCAACGCCUCUUUCACGGUGCCGAGUUUUUCUCUUGUAUUUUCUUGUGUAUCCUUGUCGUCCUCAGCGUCCUAAAAAAUUUCCUCCCAGAGUCUAGAAUACCAACACCAGUGGCUUUGCCUCUUCUUUGCCUGCCACCCAUUCAAGCUGCUGCAGUGCACUUUUCUACUGGUCCCCAGACUAAGCAGCCUCCCUUUGACUAAACAGGAAAAGAAAAACAAUCGUUGAGAUGGAUGUCUUGUGUGCAGUCUAGCCUUUGUGCUGAAAGCGUGAAAAUGCUGGCCACAGUUACUAAACCUGUUAGGAUAGAUUCAGAUCAUCUUUCUAAUUUGCCACCAGGUAAAUGCACUGCCUAUCUAUACAUUUAAAUGGCGUAAAAGAUCUUUACAUUUUAAAUAUUUUAUUUCAAAUUCCCCGAGAUUUAAUAUCUUUAUUCAUUAAAAUAUCUGUAAACAUUUUAUACAA